AAAGAUAGUAGUGUCCUCAGUCAAAAUGCCGAUUCUUGUACUGUUCUUGUCUACUCACUCAACUGUCCGAGUCUGUAGUUGCCGACCUUGGUCUUAGUACUCCCAGAUAUUUUACUGUAAGGCAUUAUUAUUUGUGUAAGGUAAUUUAUUUAUUUAACUAUUUGUCAAUUUACUUAUCAAUUUUACUAUUUUUCAUUUUCAACUUGGUUUUUAUUUACUUAUUUAUUUAUUUAUUUUUUUUCUAGCCCCACGAAAGGACUAAUGCACGUCCGGAGCGAGGUUGCGCUAGAUGGAGAAGGACAAAGUGCUCAAAAGGAAUAUUGUAGCCGGACGUCUGGCCACCCUACUCGUCAGCUGUGACAGUGGGAAGAGGAUGGUCUAAGACUGGAUUCACUAAACAGUUACAUCUUUAAAAAGUCCGUAACUAAACUGAGAGCUAUUCGCUAAACACUUACGGACUUAGUACGUACCUCAAAAGUUAAGUAUUUUCUCGGGACCCCGUAAGGUUUCGUAACCCGGACCUAUGAGUGCCUUUUCUCCACUACACAACCCCCGGGGGAAACACCGACGAAGCCAGAGCUUAGAAGUACGUCGAAAUAAAAAAAAGACUACAGGUGACAUCAGCACAUGACAGUGGCCUGAGAAGCGAUGAAAGUCUCAAUAUAUAUAAAAAUACAAGAAUAUUAGCACAUGAUAGUCGGUUGCCAGGGUGUGUUGCCAUCUGGUGCCUUUAUUCCACCAACUAAACACGGCAUAGCAAAUGUGAAAAAAGAAGUGAAACUUCGCUCAUCAUUAUUAAUGAUCAUGGGUAUUGCAAUCUACGUCACACGGAAGGUUCGGGCCUCACUGUGAGUGUAAGUAUGGCCUAGCGUGCGGAGGUGCCAGCUAUUGUGCAGUCCUGUGUAGACUACGGCAGAGUAGUCUGUGCCAAGUGACCAAAAGUGCCGUCCCCCCGUGGGAAGACGGCCUCCCCCACCCGUCCCUGUUGUUACGUCACUGUUUGUUUGGUGGUACACUACAUUACAGGUCAGUAAUACAGUAAAACAAGGGAAAAUAUUAGCCCUAUAUUUCAAGGUCUUAGCAGUGAAUCAAAUUUCACAAUAAUGAAGAUACUGUGCGAAAUUAGACAUUACAUUCCACUAGUUUUUCAUUAAAACCUCAAAUAACCAACCCUCACCACUAGAACCACCACAAUCACUACUACUAUUACAAUUACU